CUGAACCAGCCAAGUAGCGUGAAGGAUGACUGCCCUAUGGGUUGUAAACUUCUUUUAUACGGGAAUAAAGUUAGGCACGUGUGCCUUUUUGUAUGUACCGUAUGAAUAAGGAUCGGCUAACUCCGUGCCAGCAGCCGCGGUAAUACGGAGGAUCCGAGCGUUAUCCGGAUUUAUUGGGUUUAAAGGGAGCGUAGGCGGGUGCUUAAGUCAGUUGUGAAAGUUUGCGG
rnacentral:rRNA from 1 species